AUGGCCUGGACUCCUCUGCUCCUCGCGCUCCUCUCUCUCUGCACAGGGUCCCUCUCCCAGCCUGUGCUGACCCAGCCGCCCUCCCUCUCUGCAUCUCCGGGAGCCUCAGCCAGACUCACCUGCACCCUGAGCAGUGGCUCCAAUGUUGGUGAUUACUGGAUAUACUGGUACCAGCAGAAGCCAGGGAGCCGUUCCCGGUAUCUCCUGAGUUUUAGAUCAGACUCAAAUAAGCACCAGGGCUCCGGGGUCCCCAGCCGCUUCUCUGGAUCCAAAGACGCCUCGGCCAAUGCGGGGCUCCUGCUCAUCUCGGGGCUGCAGCCUGAGGACGAGGCUGACUAUUACUGCGCUACAGGUCAUAGCAGUGGCAGCAGCGACUAUUACGCACAGUGUCUCAGAGGACGAGGAAGUGAGACCAAAACCCCUGGGCCCAGCGGUGAUGACAGUCUGCCCGUGGCUUUCAGUCACAGGAGCCCACCCAGCGCCCCCUCAUCAGAGCAAAACGCCCACCUGUCCGCCAGGGAGUGA